GUAAUGUUUAUUAUACACCCGGGACAGGUACUAGCAAUGGAGGGGCUCGAUAUAAAUUCGAGCCCCGUCCAUUUUCCAUUUUUGUCUUUGCAGUUGAUGCAGAGGAACUUGAUUUUGGAAAAAACAUAGUUGAUUUGAGUGAAAUGAUUGAGGAGUCAGUGCAGAAGAGUUUUGAAGGAAGUCGAAUUCGCCAAUGGGAUACGAGUU
rnacentral:misc_RNA from 1 species